rnacentral:lncRNA from 1 species
AUUUCUCCUUCUCCAACUAUUAACUUUGACUCAAAAUUGGUUUAUAGCUUGAUCUUUAACUUUCAAUACCAUGCCAAAUUUCACCUUCAUCCAACUAAUAGAUCUUUAGAUAUCAUAAAAAUCCUACCUAAUCUCAAAGUGCCAAUUUUUGAUAUGUACUUGUACCAAAAUCCAGAUAUCUUCUAAUUUCACUAUUGAAAUAUCACAAAAUUUCACAUACAUUUAGAACACCUAAUUAUCCAAGAAUUUUCAAAAUUUGAAUUAUAGAUGUGACACCAAUUUUAUAAACUAGCUGAGAGUGCUAGGUCUAAUUUCAUUGCAUAAUUCCCAAGUUGCGAAUACAAACCUUGACUUCCAACAAUAAUUGCUAAAUUUUCCCAAAUUCUACCAAAACCAACCUUAUUUCUUAAGAACAAGCUCUAACCUAGCUC